GUGCCAGCCGCCGCGGUAAUACGUAGGGUGCGAGCGUUAAUCGGAAUUACUGGGCGUAAAGCGUGCGCAGGCGGUUUCGUAAGUCAGAUGUGAAAGCCCCGGGCUCAACCUGGGAACUGCGUUUGAAACUGCGAGGCUAGAGUGUGUCAGAGGGGGGUAGAAUUCCACGUGUAGCAGUGAAAUGCGUAGAGAUGUGGAGGAACACCGAUGGCGAAGGCAGCCCCCUGGGAUAACACUGACGCUCAUGCACGAAAGCGUGGGGAGCAAACAGGAUUAGAAACCCUUGUAGUCC
rnacentral:rRNA from 1 species